CACUUUUGCCCCAGAACUUGAGUUUGGGGCAAAUGGAUCCGUGGAACUCGAACUCCUGCUUCAGAGACUGAGCAUGGAAGGCGCUGACGGGCGGGUGGUGGCUCACCUGCUCCGAGAUCAACCGGUACCCCUCUUCCUCUCUUCAGAAAAGACAUUUCUAACUCAUUAAUCAAACUCAACAAUCUUAUGUCAUGGAGGUGAAACUGCACCGGUGCGAUGUGACGUCUGAUACCUGACGAGUUCGUACGUCUCCCCCAGUAAAGGGUUGAAUGGUUUUCCAGUCCGUUCCCAUUGAGAUGCAACAGCUGAGACAGCGAACGCAGCGACGACCUGUCGCAGAGACACAAGGUGACGAUGGAUUCAUGAAACAAUCAACAGAACAUUAAUGGUCCUGGUCCUAACAAUCGCUUGUUGUAUCGUUUUGUGUUUUAAUGAACUUCAUGUCAAACUUCUCGUUGAAUCUGAGCAGGGAGUCCGACAGGCCACAGGCCUUGUGGAUCAGGUGAGCGUGUUCCAUGUACUCCGACAUUCUCUGGAGGAAACUCAGCGGCUCGUUAAACUCGACCGGCAUCGCAACUUUGGACAGUUCCUGUAAAACACCAAAAUAAAAUAUGUAGAAGAAUGAACGGCCACGAGUAGACAACACUUUCAUACUUAUACUCCAUAUACUCCAUAUGAAACUUCCUUUUCCACUGAGAAGAUGAUUUUUCUACGUUCUGAUAUUUAUUCAAUUCAUUUAGCAGCAAAGAAAAUAUUUCCCAAACCAUUUAAAGGGGCAGUGAGCGAUUUUAAUCCAAUACUUUUUUUUUCUUUUUUACUCAGUGAAUGUUUCCUUGCGGUCGGUUCUGUUGGGCUCAGUCCUGGUUCUGUAAAUUGUGGUGCUGACCUCACAAAACUCCCUGACACCUGAAGCUACGCGUUGACUCAGAGGUUCUGGUCUCAAGGAUACUCCACACGCUGAAGUCGUUCCUGGAGAUCAUCUCGGCCGGCAGAGUUUUCCUGGGACACAUUGAGACGGAAUAGAUCGAAAAGAUCUUGUGAAAUCAGACAAAACCUUUUUACAGCAGAGAAUCUGUUUGAGAUGG